UACGAAGGGGGCUAGCGUUGCUCGGAAUCACUGGGCGUAAAGCGCACGUAGGCGGCUUUUUAAGUCGGUGGUGAAAUCCUGGAGCUCAACUCCAGAACUGCCUCCGAUACUGAAAGGCUCGAGUCCGGGAGAGGUGAGUGGAACUGCGAGUGUAGAGGUGAAAUUCGUAGAUAUUCGCAAGAACACCAGUGGCGAAGGCGGCCUCACUGGCCCGGUACUGACGCUGAGGUGCGAAAGGCGUGGGGAGCAAACAGG
rnacentral:rRNA from 1 species